GACGAACGCUGGCGGCGUGCCUAAUACAUGCAAGUCGAGCGGAGUUUUUAAAAGCUUGCUUUUAAAAACUCAGCGGCGGACGGGUGAGUAACACGUGGGCAACCUGCCCUGUAGACUGGGAUAACUUCGGGAAACCGAAGCUAAUACCGGAUAAUCAUAGAAGUUGCAUAGCUUCUAUGUAAAAGUUGGGUUUACCUAACACUACAGGAUGGGCCCGCGUCGCAUUAGCUAGUUGGUAAGGUAACGGCUUACCAAGGCGACGAUGCGUAGCCGACCUGAGAGGGUGAUCGGCCACACUGGGACUGAGACACGGCCCAGACUCCUACGGGAGGCAGCAGUAGGGAAUCUUCCGCAAUGGACGAAAGUCUGACGGAGCAACGCCGCGUGAGCGAUGAAGGCCUUCGGGUCGUAAAGCUCUGUUGUUAGGGAAGAAACAAAUG
rnacentral:rRNA from 1 species